GGCUCCUCCCCACGGGCCCCGGCGGGGCGGGAGGCGGGAAACGGCCGCCUUCACCCUGGCUUUCCCGGGAUCCCACAGUCCCGCCGCGACAGUCUGCUCCCCGCUCACCUGUCAAUCCUCCUUCAGAGCGGACGGUCCGGGAUGGCCCGGAAUCCUGGCUGCGCGUCUCAGGGAGCCAGCGCGUCUCAGGGAGACUCGCUUAGCCCCGCCGCGCAGAGGGAUGUGGACCUGUUUUGUACAAAUUGGUGGUGUGUUUUGGGUUCUUCAGAAUUGUGGCUUCUGGUUCACUGGAGGUGGCUGUGCCCCUACUUCCCCAAUCCCCUGAAGUGGCUGGCAUUGGCACAGAUAAGGCUGUUGAACAUCAACGUGUUCUCUCUGGCCUUGGACCUGCAUGCUGCAGAGAGACUCUGAUGGCUCUUAUGAUCAUGGACCUUCCCAUAUGAGGUUCUAGGCAGUUACAAAGAGCUUUAACAACCUGUUCCCAAGCUGGUCUCUUGCUCACUCCCCAGCCCUUUUGAAUACCCCUUUUGGUAUGAAUUUGAAGAUCUAAUUUUACUAUCAUCUCUCAAAUGCUCAGGCGUGUUACAGUUUUACUCUUCUUAAGAGAGCAGGAUCUACCCUUCACUCGGGGUUAUUCUCUGCAUCCUAGCUGAUGUUCUAGAGAUGAGCUGCAUCUGCGUCUGCCCAUGUGCUUUUGGAAUAGGCUGAACUUUAUUACAAAUUCAAUCUUUGGAACAAACUGCCACCAUUUCAUUGUUAGUUGAACUAUAUGCAAGAUGGCUGGGGUAGGAUAGAUCAGGGGCAGAGUGCUUGCCUAGUAUGCAUGAGACUGUAUGUGAGCUCCGUCCCCAGGAUCAAAAUGAUCAUUUUGUUCACAGAGGAAGAUGUUUGCCUGGGUUCAAUUCCCAACAAUUCCAGCUCUGGAGGAUCCAAAUGCUUCUGUCUUCUGAGGUCACUAGCAUGAACAUAGCCCCCACCACACAUAUACACACAAUUAAAAAUCAAAGCGUAGGCUUUGGAGUAAAACAGACCUUGCUUUUAAAGCCCCAUAAUAAUAUUGCAACUUUGUAGACUUGAACGCUUUCUCAACAACCCCCAUGCACAUAUCCUGAAAGAGAAAUUAAAGUGUAAUUCUGAGGGAACCUGAGGAGAAGAUGAGUUAGUGCAUGAAAAAACAGUAGUGUUUAGCAUAUGCUAAAUCCUCAAAGAAAGCUGUUCUAUAUUGCCAUAUGUAAUCUAAUCCAAAACAAUCCAUACAUGUGUAUAUCUGGAUUUGCCUUAAAAAAAAAAAUGUUCUAAUCACCACAGCG
ensembl:processed_transcript